CUCUCUCUGAACUGAGCAAAACCAGUGGCUGGCGCUUUAAAGGAAGAAGGAGAUUUUCCACACGAAGACUUUCAAAUGGGCUCCUGCAGACAGCUGUGGCCAAGCUUUUGAAAUAUUUCUAGCCUCUGUUUUCCUGCUGUGAAGACUUUGGAGAAACAGCUUAGGAGCGAUGAGCUGUUUGCUAUUCUGGGGCAGUGGGUGUGCAGAUGAAAGGGCAGAUGGGUUGAGGGGGAAUAAUUCCCCAAGCGCCCAUAAAAUUUUUGAUCUUUGGCCCCUGCUGUAAAGUGAUUCUGGGAAUGCUGGUCAGACAGGAGAGCCAAACGCUGUGGCCCUGGGGGCUUCCUGUGACCUCCGUCUGGGCACGUGGGACACAGUCCUUGUCACUGAGGGCACCGAGAUGGGAAGUCUCACGACUCCUGGAGGCUCCAGAGGCCUGUGGAAUUCGAGAAUCUCAGGCACCAUUCUGAUAUAGUGAUUUAAGCAGCUGGUCAAAGGACUUUGAGACAUCAACAGCAUAUUAUUGUCAUGUAAGUUUAUUAAUUAUUUCUUUUCUAUUUCUAUACCAAAUUUUUUCCCUUUCUUUGGUUGGUCUCUUUGCUCAUCAAACAGACAGUUUUAUAAUAAUUCACUUCAACUACUAUGGUUAUUGAGGUAUAGGUAUGGAAAUUGGCCAUUGAUGAAUAGGAAUUACUUAGGGCCACUUAAAACAAAAGGGACUAUGGUAGCCUGUUUGUGAGACAAACAAAAUUAAGGAAACAGAAUUAUCUUCAAGAAGAUUCUAGCCUCUUAUAUCUUGCAUUCGUAAAAAGCUUCCUGUAUUUCAAGUGUCUUCUAAAACAUUUGUUAUUUUACUUUUUCUUUUCAGCUUGAUACUUACAUGCCAAUAACUCUAUUCCAAAAUAUUAACCCAGUCUAUAAGUAGGAUACCUAAAUACAUCAAAAACUGUAGAAGAAAUGGAAAAAUAUUCCUGAAUGAUUACCUUCCCAGAGCAUACUAGACUGACAAUUUGUCAGAUUUUUAAGAAUUAAAAAAAAAAAUCACCUUGUUAAAACAUUUUUCUGAUAAAAGGAAAUAGGAGAAUAUUUGAAAAUUCACUUAAAAAUCAGCAUGAUUGGGGAUCCCUGGGUGGCGCAGCGGUUUAGCGCCUGCCUUUGGCCCAGGGCGCGAUCCUGGAGACCCAGGAUCGAAUCCCACGUCGGGCUCCCGGUGCAUGGAGCCUGCUUCUCCCUCUGCCUAAGUCUCCGCCUCUCUCUCUCUCUCUCUCUCUUUCUGUGACUAUCAUAAAAAAAAAAAAAAAUCAGCAUGAUUGUAAUAUAAAAAUUUGACAAAUAUAACAUUAAAAAAUCUAUAAUCCAGUCUUAUAUGUUAAUAAACAUGCAAAAUUUUACCUUACUUAUUAAAAGAACAAUAUACAGAAUGUUUAUUAUGGUACCUAGGAAUUCAUGGAUGGUUUGGUAUAGAGAAAUAUAGGAAUGUAAAUUAUAUAUGAUUAAGUCAACAAAGAACAAAAGUCAGAUAAUUAUAUGAUCAAAAGGUGUAAGACUCAAUAUCUUUCCUUUUUUUUUAUUGGAGUUCAAUUUGCCAACAUAUAGCAUAACACCCAGUGCUCAUCCCGCCAAGUGCCCCCCUCAGUGCCUGUCACCCAGUCACCCCAACCCCCCACCCAUCUCCCUUUCCACUACCCCUUGUUUGUUUCCCAGAGUUAGAUGUCUCUCAUGUUUUGUCAUCCUCACUGAUAUUUUCACUCAUUUUCUCUCUUUUCUCCUUUAUUUCCUUUCAAUAUCUUUCCUGUUUAUAAAACUUUCAAUACACUUGAUAUAGAAUGAUACAAAAUACAACUAUAAAAGAACACACACACACACACACACCUCUUUUCCAAAUCAAUAGCUAUGCAACAUUAUUUUUUUUCAAGAUUUUGUUUAUUUAUUCAUGAGAGACACACAGAGAGAGAGAGGCAGAGACAUAGGCAGAGAAGCAGGCUCCCUCUGGCGAUCUUGAUGUGGGACUCGAUCCCAGGACUCCAGGAUCACGACUGAGCCAAAGGCAGGUACUCAACCACUGAGCCACCCAGACACCCCUGCAAUACCACUCUUAACCAUGAGACACUAGAAGCAAUCUCAUUAAAGGAAGAAAAACAUAGGACACUAUCACCACUACUUUUAUACUUCUAAUAAAGUAUAAAAAUCUAGGGAUCCCUGGGUGGCGCAGCGGUUUAGCGCCUGCCUUUGGCCCAGGGCGCGAUCCUGGAAACCCGGGAUCGAAUCCCACGUCGGGCUCCCAGUGCAUGGAGCCUGCUUCUCCCUCUGCCUGUGUCUCUGCCUCUCUCUCUCUCUCUCACUGUGUGCCUAUCAUAAAUAAAAAAAAAAAAAAUCUAGAAAACACUGUAAGUCUUAAAACAGAAAAAGUAGGUAUUUUUAUUUGUAAGUAAUAUAAUUAUUUAUUUAGAUGGUCUAAAAGCCAAAUCUGGCCUGGGGACUGCUUUUGUAAAUAAGGUUUCAUUGGUACCAUGCCUUUUCAUUUCCAUAUUAUCUAAUGGCUGAUUUUGAAUGAUAACAGAAGAGUUGAAUAGUUGUAGCAGGUGCUUCACUUGAUCUUAGCCAAAAGACUGAAAAGUAAUGAAAGUUGUGAUGGAGACUAUAUGUCUCACAAAGUCUAAGAUGUCUACUAUUUGGCCUUUACUGAACAAACAUUGCCGUCCUUCAUCUAGAGUAUACCAAAAAAUCAAUUAAGAAGUCCUUAAGGUGGCCAGAUAUAACAUAUACCAGAGAUAGUUAUAUAACAUACCAAUAAGAAUAAGUUGUAUAAUAUAAAAGAAAAAAUCCUACAAAAAUUACAUAUUUAAAUGCACAUAACAGGCAGGCUGUAUAUGAAGAAAAUCACCCGGUUUAAUAAAGGAUAUAAAACAAUAUAUAAGUGAAUGUAGAACACAGAAUGUUUAUGAAUUAGAAGACCGAAGAUCAUAUAAGUGACAAUUCUUCCCAUAUUAUUUUAUAAGUUUAAUGCAAUUUCAGUAAAAAUCGCAAUUUAGAAGAGGAAUGAUUGAGAUGGUUCUUAAAUUAACUGUUCAAGAAUUGUAAAAAAAGAAAUGGUUAAUAGAUAAAAGCACCCUCAAAUAUAUAAUACCAGACAAAAUAGAAAGUUAUUUCUCAUUCACUGAAAGUCCAAAAUGGCCAUUUCAGAUGGGGCAGCAGCUCUCUUCCAGAGGGACUUGGCAGCCCAGGCUCCUUCCACCUUGUCGAUCCUCCAUUGUAUCAAUCCAAGAUAGCUAAGAAGGGAAAAGAUGGUGGAGAAUUGCUUAUGUGAGGUUUUAUUUUUAUUGGCGAUUCUGGACGUGCCACACAUUGCCUUCCCCAUCACAUGCCUUUUGGCAUCACAUGCCUUGUGUCCUUUUGACAUCCAUCAUAUGACUACUACUGACCACAAGGAAGCCUGGGAAAUGUAGUCUGGUCGCAUACCCAGAAAAAGAAAAAAAGGCAGUUGGGCCAACAGUCUACAAAGUCUGCCAUAGCACCACAUGGGGAAGUCCAGAAACAGACCACAGCAUAUGUCAGAAUUUAUAAUGUGAUAAAUAUGGCAUUUCAAAUCAGUGAGGAAAUUACAGUCAAUUAACAGGACUUGGACAAUUA
rnacentral:lncRNA from 1 species